UGUAGUUUAGUUUAAGUAGAACAGUUAACUUGCACUUAACAAGUGAAUUAUAUUCACCUACAA
rnacentral:tRNA from 1 species